AACGAACGCUGGCGGCAGGCUUAACACAUGCAAGUCGAACGAGAUCUUCGGAUCUAGUGGCAGACGGGUGAGGAACACGUGGGAACAUCCCUUUCAGUUCGGAAUAACGUUGGGAAACUAACGCUAAUACCGGAUACGUCCUUCGGGAGAAAGACUUAUCGCUGAAAGAUUGGCCCGCGUCUGAUUAGCUAGUUGGUGAGGUAAUGGCUCACCAAGGCUACGAUCAGUAGCUGAUCUGAGAGGAUGAUCAGCCACAUUGGGACUGAGACACGGCCCAAACUCCUACGGGAGGCAGCAGUGGGGAAUAUUGGACAAUGGGCGCAAGCCUGAUCCAGCCAUGCCGCGUGAGUGAUGACGGCCUUCGGGUUGUAAAGCUCUUUUGUCCGGGAAGAUAAUGACUGUACCGGAAGAAUAAGCCCCGGCAAACUUCGUGCCAGCCGCCGCUGUAAGAC
rnacentral:rRNA from 1 species